UCGAGAAUUUUUCUCAAUGGGGGCAACCCUGAAGGAGCGACGCCGCGUGGAGGAUGAAGGCUUUCGGGUUGUAAACUCCUGUCAUUUGAGAACAAUGGCUACGCGUUAACUGCGCGUAGCUUGAUAGUAUCAGAAGAGGAAGGGACGGCUAACUCUGUGCCAGCAGCCGCGGUAAUACAGAGGUCCCAAGCGUUGUUCGGAUUCAUUGGGCGUAAAGGGUGCGUAGGUGGCGUCGUAAGUCGGGUGUGAAAUCUCGGGGCUUAACUCCGAAACUGCAUUCGAUACUGCGGUGCUUGAGGACUGGAGAGGAGACUGGAAUUUACGGUGUAGCAGUGAAAUGCGUAGAGAUCGUAAGGAAGACCAGUGGCGAAGGCGGGUCUCUGGACAGUUCCUGACACUGAGGCACGAAGGCCAGGGGAGCAAACGG
rnacentral:rRNA from 1 species